GACGAACGCUGGCGGCGUGCUUAACACAUGCAAGUCGAACGGAAAGGCCCUGCUUGCAGGGUACUCGAGUGGCGAACGGGUGAGUAACACGUGGGUGAUCUGCCCUGCACUUCGGGAUAAGCCUGGGAAACUGGGUCUAAUACCGGAUAGGAGCCAUUUUUAGUGUGACGGUUGGAAAGUUUUUUCGGUGUAGGAUGAGCUCGCGGGCUAUCAGCUUGUUGGUGGGGUAAUGGCCUACCAAGGCGGCGACGGGUAGCCGGCCUGAGAGGGUGGACGGCCACAUUGGGACUAAGAUACGGCCCAGACUCCUACGGGAGGCAGCAGUGGGGAAUAGUGCACAAUGGGCGCAAGCCUGAUGCAGCGACGCCGCGUGGGGGAUGACGGCCUUCGGGUUGUAAACUCCUUUCGCUAGGGACGAAGCUUUUUGUGACGGUACCUAGAUAAGAAGCACCGGCUAACUACGUG
rnacentral:rRNA from 1 species